rnacentral:rRNA from 1 species
UACGGAGGGUGCAAGCGUUAUCCGGAUUCACUGGGUUUAAAGGGUGCGUAGGCGGGCAUGUAAGUCAGUGGUGAAAUCUUCAAGCUUAACUUGGAAACUGCCAUUGAUACUAUGUGUCUUGAAUGUUCUGGAGGUUAGCGGAAUAUGUCAUGUAGCGGUGAAAAUGCUUAGAUAUGACAUAGAACACCUAUUGCGAAGGCAGCUAACUACGGAAAUAUUGACGCUGAGGCACGAAAAGCGUGGGGGAUCAAAACAGG